GCUCGGGGAAGGGAUGUUGGGGGAAAGCUGAAACAAAGCCUCGUGCAGCCUGGUCACAGACCGGCAGUUGAAAUGGAUUCUACCUCCCCCUUGCUCUAUCUAGCCACCUUGUUCUUUGCAGCCUCAUGGUUUCCACAUUUUCUCCUCCUCACCUUGUCUCACGACCUCACCCGGUAGAGUGAUUGCCUCCAAACCGCUGACUUCCUGUCCGUCCAAGUUCCCAUCUCUGCCCAAGCCCUCCCCUCCUCCGUAGGCCACUGGGCCUCUACUGUCGCCCAUGAUCUAGCACGUGGUUCUGUACCAUUACUGUGCAUCGCCCCCCCCCCCCAUUGACAUAUGAGUUCCUGGCCAGUCACACCGUCCCUGCCACAUGCUAGGUGCUCUGUCAGGCUUGAGAGGCUGGUUCUGAAUCUCUCCGGUGUUGUCUUGGCCGCCGAAACCCUCUGAGUAUUGGGCAAAACUAUGGACUACUGCGCACGUGCACAGAAACCCACAGAUGGACGGUAUUGUACACAGGUCCAGGGGGUACACCCACCCGUGAUCUCUUCCCCGAUCCCUGAAGAUCAAGCUCUGGAAGGAUGAAUAAGCCUUUGCAGGCUGGGUGGUUAGUUGCAAGGCUCUGCCAUUUGAACGGGAGACAAAGAUUUCCUGCAGCUCCUACGCCAGGACUCCGAGGAGCAGAGCAUGUGAUCAGUUUCUCAUUUUGUACCUUAGGAGUCCAAGAAGCAGCCUUAGGAAAGAGAGAGUUCUGAAUACCUUUGCAGAUGGAAUGUUCUAUUGUCAAAGACGCUCUUCAGUUCCUUCUAGAGCAACGUCACUUCUGCAUGGAGCACUAAGCGGGGUAAUGAGGCCUCCACGGCUGGCUUGUUUAGAGACGCUGGCACCCAGAAAAGGCUCAAGACUCAGAAUCUGUUGCGACAGGAGAGGCACCACUUCAGCUGAGCGAGAACUCAAGCCCUCACAUCUCUAUGCGAUGUCACCGAACGCCCUUGGGACAUUUUCAAAGAGCGUCCAUCCGUCCACCCAUCCACCCACCCAUCCAUUCAUCGAUCCUUCCAUCCUUGCAUCCAUUCAGCAACAAACACUGGUCACCGUCUCUGAGCCAGGCCCUAUCCAGGGGCACCAUGCUGAGCCCGUACCAAGCCUCCACCGGAUGGAGGUUACAUUCUAGUGAUGGGAAAGAGGUAAUCCAUGUGGGAAGCUCAGGUGGGUGUCCGUGCCAUACAGAAAGACGUAGCAGACGUAGGAAGAGGAGGACGCCCUGUUUUCAAGGGGUUUGCAUGCUAAUGACAGGAAAUGGACAACGACCCAUGAGCAGAUCAAAUACGCGUGGGUGUGCAUGUGUGUGCACACGUGUGUACGUGUGAGUGAAUAAACAGGGUGCCCUGACAGAGAAUAAUGGGAAU
rnacentral:lncRNA from 1 species